rnacentral:rRNA from 1 species
GAUGAACGCUGGCGGCGUGCUUAACACAUGCAAGUCGAACGAAGCACCUUGAUUCGAUUCUUCGGAUGAAGAUCUUGGUGACUGAGUGGCGGACGGGUGAGUAACGCGUGGGUAACCUGCCUCAUACAGGGGGAUAACAGUUAGAAAUGACUGCUAAUACCGCAUAAGACCACAGCACCGCAUGGUGCAGGGGUAAAAACUCCGGUGGUAUGAGAUGGACCCGCGUCUGAUUAGGUAGUUGGUGGGGUAACGGCCUACCAAGCCGACGAUCAGUAGCCGACCUGAUAGGGUGACCGGCCACAUUGGGACUGAGACACGGCCCAAACUCCUACGGGAGGCAGCAGUGGGGAAUAUUGCACAAUGGGGGAAACCCUGAUGCAGCGACGCCGCGUGAGCGAUGAAGUAUUUCGGUAUGUAAAGCUCUAUCAGCAGGGAAGAAAAUGACGGUACCUGACGAAGAAGCACCGGCUAAAUACGUG